ACACGUUGGGAGACCUCCAUGAGAAAUGCAGCCGGACACGUGGGAAGAACGUGCAAGUAAAACUCACUCCACUCCAGCUGACUUAAAAGCAACUUAAAAAAAAUAUUCUGAACUCCAAUCAUAAAAAUUAAUUAACUAUUAAACUAUUAAACCCCCAGCAAAUAACACAACCUUAAACGCUAACUAAACUUCUGGAAUCGAAAAGUUUAUACAUAAUCUGGAUUAAAGGAAACUUACCAAAACCAGGGUGAAAAUAUUUUACACCGUAAAAUUCAGAUCUGCCAGUGGAAUUCGCAAUUUUGUAGAUAGUGAAGGAGAAGGCUUAAAUGUACCAAAUAAUUUAAACAAAAGGACUUCUAAAUUAUAGCAUGUCAACAUCAGGAUUUAAAACGGAUCCUGAAUCUACAUUCGCAGGGAUUUCGACACCACGUGGUCCGGAGGAAGAUGCACCUUGCCGGGAACACGUGACGACCCAAAGGGCCCCACGCUUUUCCUGUUCGACAUGUACGAAAUCGUAUUCAUCACUUCAACACCUGCGAUUCCACGAACUGCAGAGAUGUGACGGCCUAAAUCAGACCACGUGUGAACGGUGUAAGAUUGAAUUUGCAUCGAUAGAAUUAUUAGAAUGGCACUCGACAUUCGACACGUGUGCCACAAAACUCGGGGGUGGCGGUUAUAGUACCAGGGGGCUAGCGAAGGAGUGGGUGGUCGUGUAGUAAUUCUUCUGGGAUUAUGUGCCCCGUGGCCACGUGUCGGCGAUGGUUUGGCUCCGAAAUGUCGCGACGGAUCCACGUGGUAAAAAGUCAUGCCGCCUGGGGGAACGGGUGUUUGAUAUGUGCCGAGAAAUUUGCCGGUUAUGAGGAGCUGCUUGACCAUCUUGGACGGGCGCAUGGGUCGGACGUAGAUGUCGUGAGAGUAAAGACUGAGCUGAUUUUGGACGAGGGUGGUGAAACUGGGGCGGAAAGUAUUGCCAAAAUUAAGGAGGAAAUCGACUAAAAAGUGGGGGUGAUUAAGGUGGAAAAUGAAAGUUGGAACGGCGUAAAUGUGAAAAUUGAACCUUAUCAAGACUCGUAGUACUAGGUAGAAUUAAGUUUGUUAAAUUUAUAUAUAUUUAUUUAUACCUAGUGGGCCCCCGCUGGCUGUAAGUAACUUUAAACUUGUUGGAGCUAAAAAAAACUGUUGAGUAAAUUGAAAUCCUUAUGCAAUUUUGCAAAUUAAUUUUUUUCUGAAGUAGGUUUGUGGCGUUGUAUAGAAAACGUUAUUUUUAUUAUUUAUAUCUACAUAAAAUAAAACUUUUGCAAACAUUUA